rnacentral:rRNA from 1 species
CACGAAGUUAGCCGGGGCUUCUUCUACAGGUACCGUCAUUAUCUUCCCUGUCGAAAAGGAGUUUACGUCCCAAGAGACUUCAUCCUCCACGCGGCGUUGCUGCGUCAGGGUUUCCCCCAUUGCGCAAAAUUCCCCACUGCUGCCUCCCGUAGGAGUCUGGACCGUGUUUCAGUUCCAGUGUGUCCGUGCGCCCUCUCAGGCCGGAUACAGAUCAUUGCCUUGGUGGGCCAUUACCCCGCCAACUAGCUAAUCUGCCGCGGCCUCCUCUCCAAGCGCAUUGCUGCUUUGACUCGUAAGUGUUAUGCGGUAUUAGCUAAGGUUUCCCUCAGUUAUUCCCCACUCGGAGGUAGAUUAGUCACGUGUUACUCACCCGUGCGCCACUUUACUCAGAUCCGAAGACCCUUUCUCGUGCGACUUGCAUGUGUUAGGCACGCCGCCAGCGUUGAUUCUGAGCCAGGAUCAAACUC